AACGAACGCUGGCGGCGUGCCUAACACAUGCAAGUCGAGCGAGAAAGGGGAGCAAUCCCUGAGUAAAGCGGCAAACGGGUGAGUAACACGUGGGCAACCUGCCCUCGAGUGGGGAAUAACAUCUCGAAAGAGGUGCUAAUACCGCGUAGCAUCCGGACUUCCUUGGAGGUCCGGAUCAAAGGUAGGGAUCUUCGGACCUGCCGCUCGAGGAGGGGCCCGCGCCUGAUUAGCUAGUUGGCGGGGUAAGAGCCUACCAAGGCGACGAUCCGUAGCUGGUCUGAGAGGACGACCAGCCACACUGGGACUGAGACACGGCCCAGACUCCUACGGGAGGCAGCAGUGGGGAAUUUGGACAAUGGGCGCAAGCCUGAUCCAGCCAUGCCGCGUGUGUGAAGAAGGCC
rnacentral:rRNA from 1 species